UUGGAGGGCAAGUCUGGUGCCAGCAGCCGCGGUAAUUCCAGCUCCAAUAGCGUAUAUUAAAGUUGUUGCAGUUAAAAAGCUCGUAGUUGAAUUUCGGGAUCAAUGUUUCGGUCAUGCCGUUGGUAUGUACUGAUAUUAUUGGUUUCUCACCUUCUAAAGAACCGUAAUGCCAUUAAUUUGGUGUCACGGGGAAUUAGGACUGUUACCUUGAAAAAAUUAGAGUGUUUAAAGCAGGCUCACGCUUGAAUACAUUAGCAUGGAAUAAUGAAAUAGGACAUCCGAUUCUAUUUUGUUGGUUUCUAGGAUCGAUGUAAUGGUUAAUAGGGAUAGUUGGGGGCAUUAGUAUUCAAUUGUCAGAGGUGAAAUUCUUGGAUUUAUUGAAGACUAACUACUGCGAAAGCAUUUGCCAAGGAUGUUUUCAUUAAUCAAGAACGAAAGUUAGGGGAUCGAAGACGAUCAGAUACCGUCGUAGUCUUAACCAUAAACUAUGCCGACUAGGGAUCGGAUGAUGUUAAUUUUUUAAUGACUCAUUCGGCGCCUUACGGGAAACCAAAGUGUUUGGGUUC
rnacentral:rRNA from 1 species